CAAAUAACCAGAUCCAUCAUCAUCUUCUUCAAAUAACCCAGAUCCAUCAUCAUCAUCUUCUUCAAAUAACCUAGAUCCAUCAGCAUCAUCUUCAAAUAACCCAGAUCCACUUCUACGAUUCUUCUUCUCUAGUCACUGAAAUUAAACAUUCUAGCUUGACCUGCUCGAUUUGGAAAGCUGGCCUGCUCGAUUGCUUCCUAAUCUUCAGGGGAAGCUUCAGCACCACGAUCAAGAGGAGCAAUGGCGUCAAGAAGCUCCUGUUUAAUGGAGCUUGCAAAGAACACUUAAAACCAAUAAACAAACCACCACAACCACUUCCAUCGGCUUAAUUCCAUGGCCUUAUCCACUCCCUCAACCACCGUAACCACUCCUCCUCACCACCUCCCACAACUCUUCCACCCUCACUCCUCCCUCUCCGGUGUAAGUUUUCCGACGAAACGCAGCACCGGCGGGCAGCAGCUGACGCUGUGGGUGAUGGUUCUGUCGGAAUGUGGUGAUGUAGAUGGAGAUGGUGUUCGAUGUCGGAGGUGAUGCACGGUGGUUGUUCAGAGGUGGUUGGAGAAGAAAAGUGCAAUUAAUACACACCAUUUCCAUAUAUCUUCUCCCCCACAACGUGUUCUCCCCCAAAACCUAGUGAGAGGCUUUGUUCUCUCUCACACAAAAAGCUUUGAUUCUUCAUCUCAGGAAUUCAAGAAUAUCAUCAGAACAUAUUUCCAGGAAGCAUAUAGAAAAACCUAAGUUUACAAAGUAAUUUGAUGUGAAGCUACUAGAAGCCAGCUAUGGAGCAAUAAAGACUUAAAUAAAGUGGCUAUAAGUUACC